GCCCAGAUGGCGGAAUUGGUAGACGCGUUAGGUUCAGGUCCUAAUGCCCGCAAGGGUGUGGAAGUUCGAGUCUUCUUCUGGGCACCA
rnacentral:tRNA from 1 species